UCCCUGAUAGCUCAGUUGGUAAAGAAUCUGCCUGCAAUGCAGGAGACCCAGGUUUGAUUCCAGGGUUGGGAU
rnacentral:tRNA from 1 species